GUGAAGAAAAAAAAAAAGCCAAAAAGAAAAAACACUCCAGCAGUAAGAACAAAUCUGAGAAGAGCCUGAGGACACAACUGACAUUCUACCUCCACUGGUGCCUGAUGUUUUUCCUGCUGCUUGACCUGCCUGGUGCUGCUUCUCUAACAGUGACGGGACAAAAGGGCGGCAAUAUUACUCUGCGGUGUAAUUCAAGCAACAGAGAGGAAUUAUACAUGGUUCUGACUUUUGGGUCCAAAACUGCUUAUGGUACUGGUCAGAGUAAAUAUUAUGAGCACCGUGUGCACAAGA